AUGAAAUGGAAACCCCAAAAAAACCCCAAACCGCCCCAAAACGCAACAAAAAACCCCAAAACCUCCCGAAAAAAACCCCAAAAAUCGCCCCAAAAAUUCCCCCUCCCCCCCCCCCCUCCCCACCCCUUUUGUCGCGCUCCCACCCGGAAGCGCUUUGGCCCCGCCCCUUUGUUCCCCGCGCCCCCAGCCAAUCAGCGCUGGGCCCUCCCCGGAAGCCCCGCCCCCUCUGGCGGAAGCCCCGCCCCCCGGCCGGUCCUGGCGCCGCCGCCGCUCCCAGGUGAGGAUCGGGGACCCCUCCCCCACCCCCCCCCAAAAAAAUCGACCCCCGAGCCCCUCCCCCACCCCGAGACCCCUCCCCCACCCCCAGGCCCCUCCCCCCCCCCCACCAUUAAAAAAUUUGGGGAAAAAACGGGAAAAAAAAAAGAGAAAAAAAUGGGGGAAAAAAAGGGGAUUUUGGUCGCCCCUCCCCCACCCGGAAUGGAGAAAAUUCGCCCCCAAAAAAAAAACCAAAAAAAAUUUGGGAUGCGGGGCCCCUCCCCCACCCCAAAAAAAUUUGGGGAAAAACGGAACAAAAUAAAGGGAAAAACGGGGAAAAAAUGGGGAAAAAUGGGGAAAAAUGGGGAAUUCCCGCCCCUCCCCCACCCCCAAAUGAAGCCGGGGGAGUCCCCGAGCCCCUCCCCCAACCCCGAGGCCCCUCCCCCCAAUCCCCCCCACCCCCCAAAAACAAAAUUUGGGGAAAAAAAAAGAGAAAAAAAUGGGGAAAAAAGGGGAAAAAAGGGGAAAAAAAGGGGAUUUUGGUCGCCCCUCCCCCACCCGGAAUGGAGAAAAUUUUCCACCCCAAAAAAAAAUUUGGGAUGCGGGGCCCCUCCCCCACCCCCCAAAAAAUCCCCAAAAUAUAAAAAGAGAAAUGGCCAAAAAAUCCCCCAAAAAUUCAAAAAAAAAGGAAUUUCCCGCCCCUCCCCCACCCCUAAAAACUCCCAAAAUUCCCCCAAAAAUUCCCCCAAAAUUUGGGAUUCCAGCCCCUCCCCCACCCCCCCAAAAAAUCUCCCCAAAAAUCCCCGAAAAAAUGAAACAAGAAAAGGCCAAAAAAAUCCCCCAAAAAUUAAAAAAAAAAGGGAAUUUCCCGCCCCUCCCCCACCCCUGAAAUUCCCCAAAAUUCCCCCAAAAUUUGGGAUUCCGGCCCCUCCCCCACCCGCUCCAAAAACUGCCCAAAAAACCGAAAAGAAAAUUAAAAACAAAAAAAACCAAAAAAAUCAAAAAAAAGGAAUUUUUCAGCCCUACCCCACCCUUAGAAAAACUCGCUGGAAUUCCCAAAAUUUCCCCCAAAAAUUCCCCAAAAAUUUGGGAUUUUGGCCCCUCCCCCGCUCCCCAAAAAUUCCCCAAAAUCCCCCAAAAAUUUCCCCAAAAAAUUCCCCAAAAUCCCCCAAAAAGUCUCCCCAAAAAACCCAAAAAAACCCCAAAAUUCCCCCAAAAAUCCCCCAAAAAAUUCCCCAAAUACCCCCAAAAAAUUCCCCAAAAUCGCCCCCAACAUUUCCCUAA
rnacentral:lncRNA from 1 species